rnacentral:rRNA from 1 species
GACGAACGCUGGCGGCGUGCUUAACACAUGCAAGUCGAACGGUGAAGCGCCUUCCUUUUUGGUGGGUGUGGAUGAGUGGCGAACGGGUGAGUAACACAUGAGUAACCUGCCCCCUUCUUCUGGAUAACCGCAUGAAAGUGUGGCUAAUACGGGAUAUUCUGGGUCUGUCGCAUGAUGGGUCUGGGAAAGAUAUUGUUUCGGUGGGGGAUGGGCUCGCGGCCUAUCAGCUUGUUGGUGGGGUGAUGGCCUACCAAGGCGGUGACGGGUAGCCGGCCUGAGAGGGUGGACGGUCACACUGGGACUGAGACACGGCCCAGACUCCUACGGGAGGCAGCAGUGGGGAAUAUUGCACAAUGGGCGCAAGCCUGAUGCAGCGACGCCGCGUGAGGGAUGGAGGCCUUCGGGUUGUGAACCUCUUUCGCCAGUGAAGCAGGCCUGCCUCGUUUGUGGGUGGGUUGACGGUAGCUGGAUAAGAAGCGCCGGCUAACUACGUG